rnacentral:ncRNA from 1 species
UUAUCCGGGCGACGGUUGUCCCGGUUUAAGCGAGUAGGCUGAUAGUUUUGGUAAAUCCGGAUUAUCUUAAGGCUGAGACGUGAUGACGAGGUUCUACGGAACUGAAGUAAUUGAUGCCAUGCUUCCAGGAAAAGCCUCUAAGCUCUAGGUAACAUUAAAUCGUACCCCAAACCGACACAGGUGAUCAGGUAGAGAAUACCAAGGCGCUUGAGAGAACUCGGGUGAAGGAACUAGGCAAAAUGG